UAUAAUUGUUGGAGGAUUUAUCUGGAGAAGACAUCCAGAGAGCUGCUGUUUAAGACCUGAAACAUCUGGAUCAGCUGUACAUGGAUCUGCUGCCACUUCAGAUGAAGAUAACGCAGAUGAACUGUACAAAAGCCUUCAGCAGCCGACAAGCGAUCUCUACCAAACUCUCUCCUCAGGUCACCAUAAGCAUGAAACUAAAACAAACUCAGCCAGCAACAAAGGAAAUGUUAACCUGGAAAAUAUGGAAGUUAACAGCAAUCAUGAAAUUUAUGAAAACCUUUGAAUCAAAAAUAUUUCAAGCUGAAUGCAGUUGGAUAAACAUUAGGCUGAAUUUGCUUUCGAUGUUUUACUGAGCAAGAUUAACCAGAAGUUAUGUUAUUCAGUAUUUAAUAGUAACAUGUCAUAAUUUUAUUGAAACAUUGGUAAAUGUAUCUGUUUGUCUUGACAGAAUCUGUAACGUUCUUAAAAUACAUCAUGUUAUCCAUUGUAUUAUAAACAGAAGAUUUAA